rfam:Lactococcus garvieae Lg2 DNA, complete genome.
CUGUAUCAAUAUUAAAAAUCUUAUUUAUGCUUAGGAUAUGGCUAAGUGUUUCUACCCUGCACCGUAAAGGCAGGACAAUAAGAGGAUUCUAUUUGUGC